rnacentral:rRNA from 1 species
CCUACGGGAGGCAGCAGUGGGGAAUCUUCCGCAAUGGGCGAAAGCCUGACGGAGCAACGCCGCGUGAUCGAAUGAAGGCCUUCGGGUUGUAAAGAUCUGUUGACAGGGACGAAUAAGCAAUGCAAAUAGUUUUGUGUAUGACGGUACCUGUUUAGAAAGCUCCGGCUAACUACGUGCCAGCAGCCGCGGUAAUACGGAGGAUGCGAGCGUUAUCCGGAUUUAUUGGGUUUAAAGGGUGCGUAGGCGGGCUGUUAAGUCAGCGGUAAAAGCCCGGGGCUCAACCCCGGCGAGCCGUUGAAACUGGCUGUCUUGAGAUGUCGAGAGGUAUGCGGAAUGCGCAGUGUAGCGGUGAAAUGCUUAGAUAUUGCGCAGAACUCCGAUUGCGAAGGCAGCAUACCGGCGGCGAUCUGACGCUGAGGCACGAAAGCGUGGGUAUCGAACAGGAUUAGAUACCCCAGUAGUC